UACAGAGGUCUCAAGCGUUGUUCGGAUUCAUUGGGCGUAAAGGGUGCGUAGGUGGCGCCGUAAGUCAGGUGUGAAAUCUCGGGACUCAACCCCGAAACUGCACUUGAUACUGCGGUGCUCGAGUACUGGAGAGGAGAUUGGAAUUUACGGUGUAGCAGUGAAAUGCGUAGAUAUCGUAAGGAAGACCAGUGGCGAAGGCGAAUCUCUGGACAGUUACUGACACUGAGGCACGAAGGCCAGGGGAGCAAACGGG
rnacentral:rRNA from 1 species